AAAAGGAUUUUACUAUAUGGAUGUGAAGUAAUCAAGGCUCUGCAAGGUGUGAGGUUCUACACUUGGAAAAAGUCUGAAUGUCUCUUCAUCCAUUUGGCAUGUACCUUGUAAGGGAUGAGCCAAUCUCUUUGAUAUGUAAAUGCCAUUAGCCUUGUUCCAGUAUCAUAUCCAAAGGAAGGACAAAAACAUUCAUAUUUACCCCCACAGAAUAAUAAUAAAGCCUCAUUUUU
rnacentral:lncRNA from 1 species